rnacentral:rRNA from 1 species
GACAGAGGGUGCAAACGUUUGUUCGGAAUUACUGGGCGUAAAGCGCGUGUAGGCGGCUUCGCAAGUCGGAUGUGAAAUCCCACGGCUCAACCGUGGAAGUGCAUUCGAAACUGCAAGGCUAAAAGUUCUGGAGAGGAAGGUGGAAUGCUUGGUGUAGAGGUGAAAUUCGUAGAUAUCAAGCGGAACACCGGUGGCGAAGGCGGCCUUCUGGACAGUAACUGACGCUGAGACGCGAAAGCGUGGGGAGCAAACAGG